CACGAUUUUUCAAUUGAUUGACUUCUUUCUUUUUUUUCUUUUUUAAAGAGAAUGACAUUGAGUGAAUUAAGGGAUAUAAUAUAAUUAUCUUAAUUAAGGGAUAUAAUAUAAUUAUCUAUGGAAGAAGUUCACUCUAAUUCUGUAUAUAUUUAUAUAUAUCAAAAUCUUUAUCUUAUGUACUAACUAAACUAAACUCUAAAUAUAAAAAAAAAUUAAUUAAAGUUCUAAUUCUUCUCCAACUCAAUCAAUUAUCUCCUCACAACUAACCUCAAACCCAUCCUUCCGCACCAUCGCAUACAACCUCGCCGCCUCUGUGAGCCUCCGGUCCGCCGCGCUUCACCGCUGCUCUUAGUCUUUUUUCCGGUCGCCGCCUCCCCUCUUCGAAGGCCAGUUAGUUUUGAUUCUCGCUUCGUCUGUUAAUAAGCUUGCUAUCUCAAAUUUUGUGCGCCACUAUGGAGCUUAAUAAAUUGGAACUUCCUCCCACGGUGGACGUAACAGUGUUUUCUUAUAGUAAAGUGUAUCUAUUUAUUCGUCGUUUGCGUAUUUUGAGAAAAGGAAUAAAUAAUACUAAUAAUAUGGAAAGAUAUGUGAUUAUGAAGUACAGUGGCACUAUUUAUCUUGGUUACAAGACAACCCACACAGACUCAGUCCCUUAGGUGGAUGCGACAUGAAUCCUUUGCUUCUAAUGUCAACUACUGAAAGACACAUAUGAAAGUUUUGUGGUCCUAUUAAUUUGGAAAUCUUAACCUUUUUUUCUGAAAAAUGUUAUAAUUUUCAUCCAAGUUCAAAGUGGAUAUGUAUCAGUGCAAUGAUUGAUCUUGGUGAUAAACUCUGAUCUCUGAUUCAUCUUAUCUAUACAGGUAUAUAUACGAUCCUUGAAUUCUUCUGUUUGGUAUCUUGAUAUUUUUUGCUGUUAAGAUGGCUGGAUUAUGCGGCAACUUUAUAGAUUGGAGUAGUUACAGUGCGAAAGAUUAAAAAAAAUACUUUUUUUCUUGCUAAUCUGAAUAUAUUUGUGGGAUGAAUAUGUUAGGCAUGGAAAAUUGUGUUCAUGUGAAAUGAAUUUUGAUCGUGUAUUUGUUAAUCCAUAAAGAAAUAAGUUCAAUUGAGUUUUGACAAGGAGAAUUUUGAAAUAAGAAAAUGGUGUCCAAGGAGAUCCUUUUUUUUUUUUUUUUCUCACGAGAAUCAUAUAUUCUGCUCCGAACAUAGACAUGUUUGUAGAAUUUGGAACACUGGACCUUUUAUGAGCAGCUUAGAGCUCAAAGAAUUGCUAAUGAGGUAUAUAGACAAAGAAGAAAUCUACAAAAGCAAAAGAAACGUAAACGAAAUGCAAGUGAUUUGAAUUGUUGGCAUCAAAACAUUAAAAAGAUUGAUCCAACGUCUUCAGUUCGUAGCACAAAU